rnacentral:rRNA from 1 species
GACGGAGGAUGCAAGUGUUAUCCGGAAUCACUGGGCGUAAAGCGUCUGUAGGUGGUUUAAUAAGUCAACUGUUAAAUCUUGAGGCUCAACCUCAAAAUCGCAGUCGAAACUAUUAGGCUAGAGUAUAGUAGGGGUAAAGGGAAUUUCCAGUGGAGCGGUGAAAUGCGUAGAUAUCGAGAGGAACACCUGCGGCGAAGGCGGGUUGCUGGGCUGACACUGACGCUGAAGUGCGAAAGCUAGGGGAGCGAACGGG